AGAUGACUGGCUGGGUGACCUCAUUCAUCCUUAGUCUGCCUGUCUCAUCUGAUCACAGAUCCUGGGGCACUACUCCAUCACCUUCUGUCACACAUCCAUAAUCUUGCUGGCUGUGUCCAAAUUCAGGGGCUGCAUCUUUUGAAGGAUGUGGUCUAUGAAAGCAUAGCCUUUGUAGGCUGUGUUCUUCGAAGAAGGAGCAGAAAGCGUCAAAUAGGAUGUUGUGGUCGUCACCAGCUGUUCCCACCCUAACCCUCGACAAAAUGAUCGACAAAGUGCCGCUCCUGUCGCCUGGGUGGGAUGCGAAGGAUCCAUCGGAUCCAUCCAUCAGAUGGAUUCUUUGCAACUUGGCAAAAGAAGGAUGCAUUUCAAGACUGCAGCUCCUGAAUUCGGACACAGCCCCUGUCUCACAUGAUCACACAGCACUCUAGCCCUGCCAGAGCCAGUGUAAUAGUUCUGUAAAACGACUUACACAACUUAACAACUUUACAACUUCACUAAUACAGCACAGUAACUAAGAAACAAUCAGAAUAACAAAGAAUAACAGCUGCCUCUUUGACAUAAUUUAGCACAAUGACAGACGGAAGGGUGUGUGCCGCCCAAAAGCUGUUACCCUCAUAAUGACUAAUGUCCAGAGCAGGACAAGUGCACAACAGUCAAUUCAUAUUCUGAAAAUCCUCCAUCAGAUGGGAAAACAGAACCAGUACCUUCACCAACACAUUUUCAGGCUAAAUCAUCACUUCAAAUGAUAAAUCGUACAAAACAACCAAAAGAAAAAGCACAAGUAGUGGAAAAAAGAUUAAUUCCGUUAUUGAUUGCAGCUCAAGCUUGCUGGAGCAGUAGAAUCCAGUGCAGUGGCUGCCACAGCAGGUACACUCGAUAUAAAUAUAGACAUGCUUUUCUCAGAGAGAAAUAGAGUGAGAUCAGCUGAGAGCUGGCUCUACAUGUGACUGCAGGCUGAUGUCAAUACAGGUUACAUGCGGCUACAGGCUGAUGUCACUGCAGGCUACAUGCGGCUACAGGCUGAUGUCACUGCAGGCUACAUGCGACUGCAGGCUGAUCUGUGCAGGUUUUGCCAGUUAAGGGGUUAAACAGAACCAAGUCUCUCCAUGCAUUUUAAUCUGCGUGGGUCCACCCAAUGGAAACUUACUCCCUGCCAGCCCUCUCCAUAAUCAUCUGAAUAUCUAACGGCUGUUGAUGGCCCACCCACAACCCUGGACUAGGGAGACAACAGAACCAACAUGAUGUCAGCCCCUCCCCCCUCCCCCAGAAAAGAGCAGUAAAGCACAGAGAGCAAGGAGUGGAUUGAAAGUAAAGGUUAACUGUCCCCUGUUCAAGUUCACAUCAUGAUUCUCACGCAGGAUAAUCAAGAUUAUACUGUCCAACGUAUAAUCUCACACAGGACAGUCAGGAUCAUAGUGUCCAACAGACCGUCUCACAUGGGACACUGAAGAUCCCCCUGUCUAACGUAUAAUCUCACACAGGGCAGUCAGGAUCAUAGUGUCCAACAGACUGUCUCACAUUUACAUUGAAGAUCCCCCUGUCCAACGUAUAAUCUCACACAGGACAGUCAGGAUCAUAGUGUUCCACAGGCUGUCUUAUAUGGGACACUGAAGAUCCCCAUGUCCAACAUACUAUCUCAUACAGGCUAGUCAAGAUCACAGUGUCUCACAUGGGGCACUGAGGAUAUCACUGUCCAAAAGAUUACCUCACUCAAGGCAAUCAUGUUAUUAGCUUCCAGCAGUCUGUCUCAAGCAACAUGGAAAAGAUCCUACCAUCCAGUACUCCAUCUCACAUCCUACUGUCCAAAUAUCUAUCAUUCACACAUGUAGUAAAUGUCCAGAAAUAUAUUAAUAUUCUGACAAGUUUAUAAAGCAACUGUCAAUUUGAGCACUCGUUUCAAUCCCCAGUAAACGCACAGUAAAGUGUAAAAUGUGACAAGUAACACUCCAAAUGUUGUUACACACACACACACACACCUCGAUGUACAUUGCCUCACAUAAUGUACAUUUCAGAUCUUCAGAAAUCAUCUAUGAAAGAUUAAAGCUUACAGCAUACUAAAUUUCACGGGGCUUCACAAGACAGAGUACUUUGUAAAAGUAAUGCAAGGAAGCUUACUUUAGUCCUAAACCAAACUCUGCCAUGUUUGCUGUGACUAACGCAAGGGCCUGCUGUCUUUUUGGAAGCUUGUAGAUCAUGUCUUGUGACAGCUUAUGGGAGAUCAUUCUCACCAUGGUAGACAGGUCUAUAUCACGCCAAGCUUGCAUGCCAGGGCACGUGGAACAAUUCACUGCAGCCCAGGAACCAAACUCCACUCCUCCAGCUCCAUUGUGGCAGUUGUGUUUUCAAAACCUUUGGAGGCGGGGGCCAUUUUCACCCUGCCGAAGGUGCAUCAGAUGGGAGAAUACUCGAAGCACUGCUUAGUUCUCAUUCUGAAUGUGUUUACUGAGCCUCCUCAUUCUGAAUAUGGCCCCGCUGUU